rnacentral:rRNA from 1 species
UAAGGAAUAUUGGUCAAUGGACGCAAGUCUGAACCAGCCAUGCCGCGUGAAGGAUGAAGGUCCUCUGGAUUGUAAACUUCUUUUAUCUGGGACGAAAACGGGAUUUUUAUCUCAAUUGACGGUACCAGAGGAAUAAGCACCGGCUAACUCCGUGCCAGCAGCCGCGGUAAUACGGAGGGUGCGAGCGUUAUCCGGAUUUACUGGGUUUAAAGGGUGCGUAGGUGGGCUUAUAAGUCAGUGGUGAAAUCUCCGAGCUUAACUUGGAAACUGCCGUUGAUACUAUAGGUCUUGAAUUAUCUGGAGGUAAGCGGAAUAUGUCAUGUAGCGGUGAAAUGCUUAGAUAUGACAUAGAACACCGAUUGCGAAGGCAGCUUACUACAUAUAAAUUGGCGCUGAGGCACGAAAGCGUGGGGAUCAAACA